rnacentral:rRNA from 1 species
AUUGAACGCUGGCGGCAGGCUUAACACAUGCAAGUCGAGCGGAGCGAGGGUGCUUGCACCUUAGCUUAGCGGCGGACGGGUGAGUAAUGCUUAGGAAUCUGCCUAUUAGUGGGGGACAACAUUCCGAAAGGAAUGCUAAUACCGCAUACGCCCUACGGGGGAAAGCAGGGGAUCUUCGGACCUUGCGCUAAUAGAUGAGCCUAAGUCGGAUUAGCUAGUUGGUGGGGUAAAGGCCUACCAAGGCGACGAUCUGUAGCGGGUCUGAGAGGAUGAUCAGCCAAACUGGGACUGAGACACGGCCCAGACUCCUACGGGAGGCAGCAGUGGGGAAUAUUGGACAAUGGGCGGAAGCCUGAUCCAGCCAUGCCGCGUGUGUGAAGAAGGCCUUUUGGUUGUAAAGCACUUUAAGCGAGGAGGAGGCUACUUAGAUUAAUACUCUGGGAUAGUGGACGUUACUCGCAGAAUAAGCACCGGCUAACUCUGUGCCAGCCGCCGCAGUAA